CGGCGCCUCAAUGAGUUUGUAUCACUGUGGUGGACUUUUGGUGGAGGAACCAGACUGGAAUUUGGAAGUGAUACCCGCCCCGCCCUGAAGGUGCUGGGUCCUUCUAGUGAGGAGCUGAUGCAGGGAAUGGCCACACUCACAUGUCUGGCCAACAAGGGCUUCCCCUCAGACUGGAGGCUGUCCUGGAAGGUGGAUGGCAGUGGCAGCAUCAGCCGGGAGGAGAGCAGGAGCCCUGUGGUGCAGGAGAACGAUGGCCUCUACAGCUGGAGCAGCACCCUGAGGCUCCCUGCAUACCAGUGGGAGAAGGUGGGCUCUGUGACCUGCGAGGCCACCCAGGGCUCCCAGACUCUGGUCUCAGAGAUACUGAGGAGAGACCAGUGUUCCCAGUCCUGAUGUCAAUCACUGAGUCUUUGAUGCUGUUUUUCUUGUGGUACUGCUCUUUGGUUAUGUGCUGUAAUAUCCUUUGUUUCCUUGUUACUUCUACUUCUCAUAUAAAAAAAAAAAACAAUAAAAAUUGUUGCAUUUCAUAAAUACAAAAAUCAUAACAAAUGCCUCUACAUUCAUCCUUGUGUG